rnacentral:rRNA from 1 species
UACGUAGGCAGCAAGCGUUUGUUCGGAAUUACUGGGCGUAAAGAGUGUGUAGGCGGUGCUCCAAGUCUGGUGUGAAAUCUCCCGGCUCAACUGGGAGGGUGCGCCGGAUACUGAGGGGCUAGAGUGUGGGAGAGGAAAGUGGAAUUCCUGGUGUAGCGGUGAAAUGCGUAGAUAUCAGGAGGAACACCGGUGGUGUAAACGGCUUUCUGGACCAUAACUGACGCUGAGGCACGAAAGCGUGGGUAGCAAACAGG